UCAUUACAACAGCCACAGUUUAUUGGGUCUCCUUUUACUUGGAUAACUGAGCUAAUUGUUGAGCUAAUACACGCACCAAAGCUUCGACCUCACGGAAGGAGCGCAUUUAUUAGAACAAAACCAAUCGGACUUCGGUCCGUCCAUUGGUGAAUCUAAAUAACUCGGCCGAUCGCAUGGUCUCGCACCGGCGACGCACCUUUCAAAUGUCUGCCUUAUCACCUUUCGAUGGUAGUUUAUACGCCUACCAUGGGUUUUACGGGUAACGGAGAAUAAGGGUUCGACUCCGGAGAGGGAGCCUGAGAAACGGCUACCACAUCCAAGGAAGGCAGCAGGCACGCAAAUUACCCACUCCCGGCACGGGGAGGUAGUGACGAAAAAUAACGAGGCGGUUCUCUUUGAGGCCCGCCAUCGGAAUGGGUACAAUCUAAAUCCUUUAACGAGGAACUAUUGGAGGGCAAGUCUGGUGCCAGCAGCCGCGGUAAUUCCAGCUCCAAUAGCGUAUAUUAAAGUUGUUGCGGUUAAAAAGCUCGUAGUUGGAUCUGCGGCCGAGGAGAGCGGUCACCCGUUGGGUUGCUACUGCUUUUCCUGGCCUAAUUCUUCGGUUUUCCCUUGAUGCUCUUCAUUGAGUGUCUUGGGUGGCCGGAACGUUUACUUUGAAAAAAUUAGAGUGCUCAAGGCAAGCUAUUAGCUUGAAUAGUGGUGCAUGGAAUAAUAAAAGAGGAUAUUGGUCCGUUUUGUUGGUAAUGGGUCUGAUAUAAUGAUAGAGGGGGGACAAUCGGGGGGCAU
rnacentral:rRNA from 1 species